rnacentral:rRNA from 1 species
UUUCCUACGGGACGCAGCAGUGAGGAAUAUUGGUCAAUGGGCGGGAGCCUGAACCAGCCAAGCCGCGUGAGGGAAGAAGGUACAGCGUAUCGUAAACCUCUUUUGUCAGGGAACAAAGGCGGGGACUAGUCCCCGGAUGAGAGUACCUGAUGAAAAAGCAUCGGCUAACUCCGUGCCAGCAGCCGCGGUAAUACGGAGGAUGCGAGCGUUAUCCGGAUUUAUUGGGUUUAAAGGGUGCGUAGG